rnacentral:rRNA from 1 species
AACGAACGCUGGCGGCAGGCUUAACACAUGCCAGUCGAGCGAGACCUUCGGGUCUAGCGGCGGACGGGUGAGUAACGCGUGGGAACGUGCCCUUCUCUACGGAAUAGCCCCGGGAAACUGGGAGUAAUACCGUAUACGCCCUUUGGGGGAAAGAUUUAUCGGAGAAGGAUCGGCCCGCGUUGGAUUAGGUAGUUGGUGGGGUAAUGGCCCACCAAGCCGACGAUCCAUAGCUGGUUUGAGAGGAUGAUCAGCCACACUGGGACUGAGACACGGCCCAGACUCCUACGGGAGGCAGCAGUGGGGAAUCUUAGACAAUGGGGGCAACCCUGAUCUAGCCAUGCCGCGUGAGUGAUGAAGGCCUUAGGGUUGUAAAGCUCUUUCAGCUGGGAAGAUAAUGACGGUACCAGCAGAAGAAGCCCCGGCUAACUCCGU